GCAACUAUAUAGUUUAUCCUUCAUAUAUCCUCGAUAAUAUGGAUCGAAAGUAUCUACCAAAUCACCGGAAAUGAUUUGACUAUGAAGGCAGGCUUCUUUUGU
rnacentral:ncRNA from 2 species